GAUGAACGCUGGCGGCGUGCCUAAUACAUGCAAGUCGAGCGAAUGGAUUAAGAGCUUGCUCUUAUGAAGUUAGCGGCGGACGGGUGAGUAACACGUGAGUAACCUGCCCAUAAGACUGGGAUAACUCCGGGAAACCGGGGCUAAUACCGGAUAACAUUUUGAACCGCAUGGUUCGAAAUUGAAAGGCGGAUUCGGCUGUCACUUAUGGAUGGACCCGCGUGGCAUUAGCUAGUUGGUGAGGUAACGGCUCACCAAGGCAACGAUGCGUAGCCGACCUGAGAGGGUGAUCGGCCACACUGGGACUGAGACACGGCCCAGACUCCUACGGGAGGCAGCAGUAGGGAAUCUUCCGCAAUGGACGAAAGUCUGACGGAGCAACGCCGCGUGAGUGAUGAAGGCUUUCGGGUUGUAAAGCUCUGUCAGGGGGAAAGAAGGCACCUGGGUUAAUAGCCCAAGGGCUGACGGUACCCCCAAAGGAAGCCACGGCUAACUACGUGCCAGCCGCCGCGGUAA
rnacentral:rRNA from 1 species